GCCUGGGUGGCUCAGUCGGUUGAGCGCCUGACUUUGGCUCAGGUCAUGAUCUCACAGCUCUGUGGGUUCGUGCCCCACAUCGGGCU
rnacentral:tRNA from 1 species